CAGGGUCUGACGACUGCCCAAACCACCGUGAACCGUCCCGAAAAUAAUAUGCUUCGGCGGGCCGCUCGCUGGGGGAGCCCCGGACCGCCCGUCGGUUGGUCCGCCGGAAGCAUGCACACGCAACUUUCCACAAUUCUGCUCUGAGAUAAUUCUCAUCCUCGCGAGAGGAGGAAACGAUCA
rnacentral:misc_RNA from 1 species